UCAGGAAAUUUUUUUUCAUUAAGAUAAAAAUAUCUCAUCAAUAAGACUUCAGAUAUAAAAAUAAAUAAGUCCAAAUAUGAGCACAUCUUAAACUAAAUUAAGACUUCAAAAAUAAAACAAAAAACUCUCUAAGCUUCUAUAUCCACUCCUGCAUAUCAUGUUGUAUCGAUAAUUACUUAGUGAAUUUUUCUUGAUAAUUUCAAUAGAAAGAUAGAGUGUAAAAACCUAGAUAUUCCAUCAAAUUUGAAUUGUCCUUAAUUUGCUGUAAUUUCUGUGGGCCAAAGAGAUGAGAGUAAAGAUUCAAACUGCUCGCGCCGGGGAUUUCCAUUAACUGUAAGGGUACGUGUUGUCAAUUCAAGAAUCAAGACCGUAUGAAUGCUGUCAGUCUUGAAAGAAGUAAUCGACUUUUAAUAAGAUUAAUAAGAUCGAUUGCCAGAAUGAAGAAGUCAUAAUUAUUGUAUUAAUUAACAAGAGAAACACUCAUGGCUUGGCUCCAGGCAGCGAACCGAACCGUACGGUCAUGCGACAAAGAGCAUGUGUUGGUCAUGAGUUAUCCAUGUGACACCUAGCAACCCCCUCGUGAUGCAACGUGUACAAAUGCAAUUGUGCAUUUUGGAGUCGGUGAAUUGUACGUUUUCUUGCUUUAGGAAAAUUAUAUCUUUUUUAAGUUGCUGGCCACGUUGGUUCACCGCUUCCACCCAAAGAAGCAAGUGCUCUUUGAAGUCAGUGAAUUGUACAUUUUGUUUAGGGAAAAAGCUCUUCUUAUGAUUUUAUGUAAUAGCUCAUUUCAUCAUUAUUUUUUAAAUAAUCGCUCAAAACAUCUUUUCGUUAACUCACCGUUAGUUUAAUAUCGUUUGUUAGUAAUUCAUUAAGGGUAAAAAAAGAUUUUCCAUCAAAGAAAAAAUUAAAAAAAUAAAUAAAAAUUGACAUAUAACUAAAAAUGAUUUCAUCUAAUCCUACUAAAUAGAAAAUAACGAAAAAAAUGAAAAACUUCUAUUUUAAGCAAUUUUUAUUUCACUUCUUUCUAUUUUGGCGACAUGAAAGCCCUAUAAACCCUAAAUCUAAGUACAAAAAAUAUCACAAUUUUUUUAUUCAUAUAAGUAUACUUUCUAAUUGCACUGUAAAAUAACUUGAAUUGAGUUAAAAAUAAAAAAAAGAUAUUCAGCACAUGCAAGCACAUAAAAAUUGGUGGUAUUUUUGAGUUUUUUUUCUAAUGAUUUAAAGAUAUUGUGUUAAUUACAGUUUGUUCCGUAUGACAAUUAUUCAAUGACUAUAUCAAACUAUAUCAUCGUUGGUUUCAUUUAAGAAAAAGUUAAUGAAUUUUACAUACUUUAUAGUGUUAUUUAAUUGUGUAAAAAAUUAUUUUAAUAUAAUUUGUAUCACUUUAAUAAAAAAUCCUAUUUUGCCCUUAAUGAAUUACUAGUUAAUGGUUUUAUCAAAUAUAAAACUUUUAUAUUACUUUUAUUAUUUUCGUAAUACUUAAAAAUCUUUUUGGUACCAAACAUUUAAAAAAGAUUUGAUAUAUCUCAAAUUUAAAUAA
rnacentral:lncRNA from 1 species